CAAGACAAAAGCAAUGACACAAUUCUGGAUGGGAUCUUACCUCAGGAAAAUGAAGAUUUUACCCACAGAUCUCAAAGAGCGGGAACCAGUGAGUCCAGUGCACGGGCUCGCAUUCGGUGAGCCCUCAACAGUUUGGCGCAACCUCAGCCAUCCCGCUCUUCCAAACAGACUCCAGGACGUGUCAUGGAUAGUAACUUGUGAAAUCCUCCCAGUCAGGUCCAUUAUGCACUCCCGAGACAUGUCUGCACUUCCAACCUGCCACCGACCUGUUUGUGGUGCACUUGAGUCGGUGAGGCAUCCGCUCUAGGAGUGCAGUGAGGCAACAGACCAGUGGGCAACAGCCGGUGUUUUGAAAUUUCUGUACUUGCCAGCAUGGGCGGUCCUCACAACACAACUGGUGCUCUACAGGGUGACUGACCUUGUGUUAGCUGCAUUUUUGGGGCAGUGUGGAGAGAUGUAUCAGCAGCUAGGUACAUUAAUUAUCCGAUGGGGUUUUGGACUGGAAGGUGGCAGUUCCAGGCUCUGCUUUACUCUGAACCGGAUGGGCCUUGUGGCCUAAAGCACCCACCUGCUUUUUUCAGCCUCGGUGGGGACUGUGGACACUGUACUACUCUCAGCAAUCAGCUUUCUACAGAAAGCAUAGAACCUGUGCUGGAGCCUGCGACCAUUUCUGUGGCCAGUGGGGGCAUAAAGCCAAAGACUAAACCACACCCAAGGCCUGUCAUGGAUGUGGUGGACUGAACCACCUGUACCAGAGCUGUCCUAGCUACAGGAGGUCUUUUGUGGAAGUAUCCAAAGCCACUGGUGGGUUUGAGAGAACCAAAUAGCUGGCAAUGGGAUCCAAACCUGCAGGGAAUGCCCCAGGGAAGCCAAUGCAGGCAGAGGUGGGGGCAGGUCUUUCCGAGUGCAGAGUGGAGGCCAUGCUCCAGGAGCAGAGAUCGGUCAAUGCUGUUGGGGUGGACGGAGGGGCCCUGUUUUGCUCCAGAAGCUUGUUCAUACAGAUGGAAUUGAAGUUAUCGGCAUAAGCAAUGGCUGCAACCCUGAGCGCUUACCCUACAAGUGCCAGUAAUCCAGUUGUCGGUGUUAAUUCUUUUGAUUAAAGGACUUGUUGCUAGAAUGUAUAGAGCAAGGCUCAGGGGACAGGCCUGCUUCACUCUUUUCUCCACUUCAAAACGCUCUGUUAAGACCCCAUUUACAUUUACACAAACACUUGAUUUAAUAUACAGACAUUUGAUCAUUUGAAUAAAACCAUUGGGAAAGCCAUAUGUUUUCAUUAUUGACCAGAAAUAAUCUCUCAAAAUAUAUUCAAAUGCUCUUUUGGAUGAAGACCCAUAAUGUAAAAAUCUUUUGCAUCCUCAGGUUUGUGUAUUAUCUCUCUUUAAAUACAAAGAUCCCACAUCA